rnacentral:rRNA from 1 species
UACGUAGGGGGCAAGCGUUGUCCGGAAUCACUGGGCGUAAAGCGCGCGCAGGUGGUCAUUUACGUCUGGGGUGAAAGCCCGGAGCUCAACUCCGGGAUUGCCUUGGAUACGGGAUGACUUGAGGAUCGGAGAGGCAAGGGGAAUUCCACGUGUAGCGGUGAAAUGCGUAGAGAUGUGGAGGAACACCUGUGGCGAAGGCGCCUUGCUGGCCGAUUUCUGACGCUGAGGCGCGAAAGCGUGGGGAGCAAACAGG